GGCCUACGGGACGCAGCAGUGGGGAAUAUUGCACAAUGGGGGAAACCCUGAUGCAGCAACGCCGCGUGAGUGAAGAAGUAUUUCGGUAUGUAAAGCUCUAUCAGCAGGGAAGAAAAUGACGGUACCUGAAGAAGAAGCCCCGGCUAACUACGUGCCAGCAGCCGCGGUAAUACGUAGGGGGCAAGCGUUAUCCGGAUUUACUGGGUGUAAAGGGGGCGCAGACGGCGAUGCAAGCCAGGAGUGAAAGCCCGGGGCCCAACCCCGGGACUGCUCUUGGAACUGCGUGGCUGGAGAGCAGGAGGGGG
rnacentral:rRNA from 1 species